CAGCCGCCGCGGUAAUACGAAGGGUGCAAGCGUUAAUCGGAAUUACUGGGCGUAAAGCGUGCGUAGGCGGUGAGUUAAGUCUGCUGUGAAAUCCCCGGGCUCAACCUGGGAAUGGCAGUGGAUACUGGCUCGCUAGAGUGUGUCAGAGGAUGGUGGAAUUCCCGGUGUAGCGGUGAAAUGCGUAGAGAUCGGGAGGAACAUCAGUGGCGAAGGCGGCCGUCUGGGACAACACUGACGCUGAGGCACGAAAGCGUGGGGAGCAAACAGGAUUAGAUACCCCAGUAGUCCCUGUCUCUUAUAC
rnacentral:rRNA from 1 species